GCACCGGUGGUGAAAGGUGUAGCAUCGCUGUUCGGAAAGCAGUAGGUGCAGGUUCGAGUCCCGCCUGGCACA
rnacentral:tRNA from 1 species